AGUGAACGCUGGCGGUAGGCCUAACACAUGCAAGUCGAACGGACGCACAGUAAGCGCUUGCUCUUACGGGUGGCGAGUGGCGGACGGGUGAGGAAUACAUCGGCAUCUACUUAUUCGUGGGGGACAACGUAGGGAAACUUACGCUAAUACCGAAUACGACCUACGGGUGAAAGCAAGAGAUCUUCGGACCUUGCGCGAUUGAAUGAGACGAAGUCGGAUUAGCUAGUUGGCGGGGUAAGGGCACACCAAGGCGACGAUACGUAGCUGAUCUGAGAGGAUGAUCAGCCACACUGGAACUGAGACACGGUCCAGACUCCUACGGGAGGCAGCAGUGGGGAAUAUUGGACAAUGGGCGCAAGCCUGAUCCAGCAAUACCGCGUGGGUGAAGAAGGUCUUCGGGUUGUAAAGCCCUUUUGUUGGGAAAGAAAAGCAGCAGGUGAAUCCCCCGAUGUUCUGACGGUACCCAAAGAGUAAGCACCGGCUAACUACGUG
rnacentral:rRNA from 1 species